AGAGUUUGAUCCUGGCUCAGAUUGAACGCUGGCGGCAUGCUUUACACAUGCAAGUCGAACGGUAACGCGGGGGCAACCCUGGCGACGAGUGGCGAACGGGUGAGUAAUACAUCGGAACAUGUCCUGGAGUGGGGGAUAGCUCGGCGAAAGCCGGAUUAAUACCGCAUACGCUCUGAGGAGGAAAGCGGGGGACCCGUAAGGGCCUCGCGCUGCAGGAGUGGCCGAUGUCGGAUUAGCUAGUUGGUGAGGUAAAGGCUCACCAAGGCGACGAUCCGUAGCUGGUCUGAGAGGAUGAUCAGCCACACUGGGACUGAGACACGGCCCAGACUCCUACGGGAGGCAGCAGUGGGGAAUUUUGGACAAUGGGGGCAACCCUGAUCCAGCCAUGCCGCGUGAGUGAAGAAGGCCUUCGGGUUGUAAAGCUCUUUCGGACGGAACGAAACGGUUAGCGUGAAUAUCGCUGACUAAUGACGGUACCGUAAGAAGAAGCCCC
rnacentral:rRNA from 1 species